rnacentral:rRNA from 1 species
UGCGAAGCGAAGCAGUGAUGUGAAGCAAAUCGCACCAAAGCCGGUCCCAGUUCGGAUAAGAGGCUGAAACUCGCCUCUUUGAAGUCGGAAUCGCUAGUAAUCGCAGAUCAGCAUGGCGCGGUGAAUACGUUCCCGGGCCUUGUACACACCGCCCGUCAAGCCAUGGGAGCCGGGGGCGCCUGAAGUCCGGGACCGCGAGGACCGGCCUAGGGCGAAACUGGUAACUGGGGCUAAGUCGUAACAAGGUAAC